rnacentral:rRNA from 1 species
UCCUACGGGAGGCAGCAGUGGGGAAUAUUGCACAAUGGGCGCAAGCCUGAUGCAGCCAUGCCGCGUGUGUGAAGAAGGCCCUAGGGUUGUAAAGCACUUUCAGCAGUGAGGAAAGGUGCGUAGUUAAUACCUGCGUACUGUGACGUUAACUGCAGAAGAAGCACCGGCUAACUCCGUGCCAGCAGCCGCGGUAAUACGGAGGGUGCGAGCGUUAAUCGGAAUUACUGGGCGUAAAGCGCGCGUAGGUGGAUUGGUCAGUCAGAUGUGAAAGCCCAGGGCUCAGCCUUGGAACUGCACCUGAUACUGCCAGUCUAGAAUACGGUAGAGGGUAGUGGAAUUUCCUGUGUAGCGGUGAAAUGCGUAGAUAUAGGAAGGAACACCGGUGGCGAAGGCGACUACCUGGACCGAUAUUGACACUGAGGUGCGAGAGCGUGGGGAGCAAACAGGAUUAGAUACCCUGGUAGUCCACGCCGUAAACGAUGUCUACUAGCCGUUGGGAGACUUGAUCUCUUAGUGGCGCAGCUAACGCGAUAAGUAGACCGCCUGGGGAGUACGGCCGCAAGGUUAAAACUCAAAUGAAUUGACGG